UUCUGACGCAAAAUUGGUUAAACAUACCUCCUCAUCCCCUAUUUAAAAACCAAAACUGCAACUUCUACUUGUGGUCAUGAUGGAAUAACAUGGGCCUGAUUUACUCUGUACAUUAAGCAACUGAAACUGAGAUAAAAUAUACAAAAGAGUUUUCAGAUGUUGUACAACAUGCAACAUGGGACGAUGCUCUUUGAAAGAAGAGAAACAAAUCAGGUGAACCUAUAAUUGCCCCAGCUCACUGCCUGGAAAGAUAAACCUGCACAGGCAAGAGAAACUCCAACACAGCCUGGCAGAUAUUCUGAACCAAACAGAUGAAGUUGAGAAUCCAGAGAGGUGGAGUCCCGAAUUUACAGUGCCUUUCACCUCCUGCCAUGAUUCUGAGGCCUCCCCAGCCAUGUGGAAAUGUGAGGACCCAGUGUUCACCCCUCCUGCCACGUGAGGAUGCCCAGCAAGAUGGCCCUCACCAGAUAUCAAAUGCCAGAACUUGAUCUUGGACUUCCCA